UACGUAGGGUGCGAGCGUUAAUCGGAAUUACUGGGCGUAAAGCGUGCGCAGGCGGUUCGUUAUGUCGGCGGUGAAAGCCCCGGGCUUAACCUGGGAAUGGCCGUCGAAACUGGCGAACUGGAGUGUGGCAGAGGGGGGUGGAAUUCCGCGUGUAGCAGUGAAAUGCGUAGAGAUGCGGAGGAACACCGAUGGCGAAGGCAGCCCCCUGGGCUGACACUGACGCUCAGGCACGAAAGCGUGGGGAGCAAACAGG
rnacentral:rRNA from 1 species